UGGGGAAUAUUGCACAAUGGGCGCAAGCCUGAUGCAGCCAUGCCGCGUGUGUGAAGAAGGCCUUCGGGUUGUAAAGCACUUUCAGCGGGGAGGAAGGCGUUAAGGUUAAUAACCUUGGCGAUUGACGUUACCCGCAGAAGAAGCACCGGCUAACUCCGUGCCAGCAGCCGCGGUAAUACGGAGGGUGCAAGCGUUAAUCGGAAUUACUGGGCGUAAAGCGCACGCAGGCGGUCUGUCAAGUCGGAUGUGAAAUCCCCGGGCUCAACCUGGGAACUGCAUUCGAAACUGACAGGCUAGAGUCUUGUAGAGGGGGGUAGAAUUCCAGGUGUAGCGGUGAAAUGCGUAGAGAUCUGGAGGAAUACCGGUGGCGAAGGCGGCCCCCUGGACAAAGACUGACGCUCAGGUGCGAAAGCGUGGGGAGCAAACAGG
rnacentral:rRNA from 1 species